UACAGAGACUGCAAGCGUUAUUCGGAUUCACUGGGCGUAAAGGGUGCGCAGGCGGCCAAGUGUGUGAGGCGUGAAAGCCUGGAGCUUAACUCCAGAAUUGCACCUCAAACUACAUGGCUAGAGCAUUGGAGAGGGUAGCGGAAUUCACUGUGUAGCAGUGAAAUGCGUAGAUAUCGUGAGGAACACCAGAGGCGAAGGCGGCUACCUGGACAAUUGCUGACGCUCAGGCACGAAAGCGUGGGGAGCAAAAGGG
rnacentral:rRNA from 1 species